CCCCGGUCAUCUUCCUGUGGAUGGAUGUCCAUGUUCAUUGUACUUUGAUGAAUAAAGGUUAAGACAUUAUGUCUGUUCGAAGUGUAAUAUGUUAAUACAAUCGUUAUUUACGCUUUUAUGCAUUGUUCUUUUGAUAUAUUACACUUGUGACGUCAACAUAUGUGUGGAAAUAGAUCCUGGCACACAUAUGCUAUGCGCUCGGUUCCACCCCUUGGAACCGGGUGUGACAUCAGUGGAGCAUUGUAUACCAAGGCGGUGAGCCCUAGCCACGAACGGGGAAUCGAUGGGGACGGUUGACAUGUGUGGGGACGGAGUGCCCCUACAUGUCGUGUGUUUAGGUUUACCUUGCAAGGUUAAAACUCGAUUUGAAUCGUCUGCUUCUCGCAGCUAAUGAGACUGCUUGACCCCUUGUACUACAUUGAGUAAGAAGUGAAAUGAGGUUUUACAUGAGAUAACAUGUUGAUUGUAUUAAAAUCACUGUUACCAUGUAUGCUUAGAAGGAGCAAACUUAGCUAAAAGUAAUGAUAUUAGAAUUGGAAAAGCUAAAGAUUAAUCUUGGACUCAGCUAGUGCUUUGGCAAACCAAACCCCUCAGCCAAACAACUGUAUGGUCUAGAAGUAGAGGAGUAGACUCCUCACACCGGGUAAGUCUAGUUGAGUAUUAGUAUACUCAUCCUUGCUUGUGGCCUAAUUUUUGCAGGUACGCUUUAGGAUAUGGUUGAUGGUGUGACUUGGCCUACCACCCUGCCACCGGGUUGGACAGUCGAGGAGGAGUAGUGGGCUAGGCCUAGCCCUAUUCCUCAUCUUUCGACGAUAUCGAUUAUCCGCUGCAAUUUAUCUUAUGAACUUGCUUUAGUUACUUGAAAAACUCCAAUUUAUGUAAUAAAUCUAGUACUUUAAUUUGAGGUUUCCUGUUUUAUUGUAUUUCCUCUAUGACUCACCUUUGAGUGAGCUUGUGGUAUUU
rnacentral:lncRNA from 1 species